GCCAAACCCAGGAGUCCCAUCGGAAUCAUAACAGUUAGCCCUGUUGUAGGAUAAACUGUAUGUGAGUGGGCUAUGAAAUUGCAGGCAGGCUGACAAAAGCACUGAAAUCAUUUAAAAAACAUCUGGACGCAACAAUUGCUGGAGUGGAGUGUGGUAAUGUGGUUCUGGAACGAUGACUUAAGACGGACUGAAUGCUUUCCUCAUCUGUACCUUUUUGACCAGGCUGACAAAUGGGACCUUAACAAAAGCCGUGCCACAGUCCACAUAGGCUCCAUUUUGACUGAUUCGCCUUUUUACUACCUCAAAGAAGAACCCAGAAUCUCUUACACAGCUAAGCAGUGUCAAUAAGAUGUAGAUCUGUGCCUGCAGCUCACCAUGGGCAGCACAGCUCAUCUGUGCUGAAUCACCAAAGUGGAGCCAGUGAACCACAGCAGCACAAUCGUCU